rnacentral:rRNA from 1 species
GACGAACGCUGGCGGCGUGCCUAAUACAUGCAAGUUGAGCGAUGAAGAUUGGUGCUUGCACCAAUUUGAAGAGCAGCGAACGGGUGAGUAACGCGUGGGGAAUCUGCCUUUGAGCGGGGGACAACAUUUGGAAACGAAUGCUAAUACCGCAUAAUAACUUUAAACAUAAGUUUUAAGUUUUAAAGAUGCAAUUGCAUCACUCAAAGAUGAUCCCGCGUUGUAUUAGCUAGUUGGUGAGGUAAAGGCUCACCAAGGCGAUGAUACAUAGCCGACCUGAGAGGGUGAUCGGCCACAUUGGGACUGAGACGCGGCCCAAACUCCUACGGGAGGCAGCAGUAGGGAAUCUUCGGCAAUAGACGAAAGUCUGACCGAGCAACGCCGCGUGAGUGAAGAAGGUUUUCGGAUCGUAAAACUCUGUUGGUAGAGAAGAACGUUGGUGAGAGUGGAAAGCUCAUCAAGUGACGGUAACUACCCAGAAAGGGACGGCUAACUACGUG